AACGAACGCUGGCGGCAUGCCUAACACAUGCAAGUCGAACGAAGGCUUCGGCCUUAGUGGCGCACGGGUGCGUAACGCGUGGGAAUCUGCCCUUUGGUUCGGAAUAACAGCUGGAAACGGCUGCUAAUACCGGAUGAUGACGAAAGUCCAAAGAUUUAUCGCCAGAGGAUGAGCCCGCGUUGGAUUAGGUAGUUGGUGGGGUAAAGGCCUACCAAGCCGACGAUCCAUAGCUGGUCUGAGAGGAUGAUCAGCCACACUGGGACUGAGACGCGGCCCAGACUCCUACGGGAGGCAGCAGUGGGGAAUAUUGGACAAUGGGCGCAAGCCUGAUCCAGCAAUGCCGCGUGAGUGAUGAAGGCCCUAGGGUUGUAAAGCUCUUUUACCCGGGAAGAUAAUGACUGUACCGGGAGAAUAAGCCCCGGCUAACUCCGUG
rnacentral:rRNA from 1 species